UGGCGGACGGGUGAGUAACGCGUGGGUAACCUGCCUCAUACAGGGGGAUAACAGUUAGAAAUGACUGCUAAUACCGCAUAAGCACACAGAACCGCAUGGUUCGGGGUGAAAAGCCGAGACGGUAUGAGAUGGACCCGCGUCUGAUUAGCUAGUUGGAGGGGUAACGGCCCACCAAGGCAACGAUCAGUAGCCGACCUGAGAGGGUGACCGGCCACAUUGGGACUGAGACACGGCCCAAACUCCUACGGAAGGCAGCAG
rnacentral:rRNA from 1 species